GGCCCAGUAGUGUACUGGUAACACAUCCUCUUUCCUUAGCGCACUCCCACAAGUCAGAGGAAGUACCCCGUUCGAUUCGGGGCUGGGCCA